GACGAACGCUGGCGGCGUGCCUAAUACAUGCAAGUUGAGCGCUGAAGGUUGGUACUUGUACCAACUGGAUGAGCAGCGCACGGGUGAGUAACGCGUGGGGAAUCUGCCUUUGAGCGGGGGACAACAUUUGGAAACGAAUGCUAAUACCGCAUAAAAACUUUAAACACAAGUUUUAAGUUUGAAAGAUGCAAUUGCAUCACUCAAAGAUGAUCCCGCGUUGUAUUAGCUAGUUGGUGAGGUAAAGGCUCACCAAGGCGAUGAUACAUAGCCGACCUGAGAGGGUGAUCGGCCACAUUGGGACUGAGACACGGCCCAAACUCCUACGGGAGGCAGCAGGAGGGAAUCUUCGGCAAUGGACGAAAGUCUGACCGAGCAACGCCGCGGGAGUGAAGAAGGGUGUCGGAUCGUAAAACUCGGUUGGUAGAGAAGAACGUUGGUGAGAGUGGAAAGCUCAUCAAGUGACGGUAACUACCCAGAAAGGGACGGCUAACUACGUG
rnacentral:rRNA from 1 species